rnacentral:rRNA from 1 species
UACGAAGGGAGCUAGCGUUGUUCGGAAUCACUGGGCGUAAAGCGCGCGUAGGCGGCUUUGUAAGUUAGAGGUGAAAGCCCGGAGCUCAACUCCGGAAUUGCCUUUAAGACUGCAUCGCUAGAAUCAUGGAGAGGUGAGUGGAAUUCCGAGUGUAGAGGUGAAAUUCGUAGAUAUUCGGAAGAACACCAGUGGCGAAGGCGGCUCACUGGCCCGGUACUGACGCUGAGGCACGAAAGCGUGGGGAGCAAACAGG